ACGCUGGCGGCAGGCCUAACACAUGCAAGUCGAGCGGUAGCACAGAGAGCUUGCUCUCGGGUGACGAGCGGCGGACGGGUGAGUAAUGUCUGGGAAACUGCCUGAUGGAGGGGGAUAACUACUGGAAACGGUAGCUAAUACCGCAUAAUGUCGCAAGACCAAAGUGGGGGACCUUCGGGCCUCAUGCCAUCAGAUGUGCCCAGAUGGGAUUAGCUAGUAGGUGGGGUAACGGCUCACCUAGGCGACGAUCCCUAGCUGGUCUGAGAGGAUGACCAGCCACACUGGAACUGAGACACGGUCCAGACUCCUACGGGAGGCAGCAGUGGGGAAUAUUGCACAAUGGGCGCAAGCCUGAUGCAGCCAUGCCGCGUGUGUGAAGAAGGCCUUCGGGUUGUAAAGCACUUUCAGCGGGGAGGAAGGCGGUGAGGUUAAUAACCUUGUCGAUUGACGUUACCCGCAGAAGAAGCACCGGCUAACUCCGUGCCAGCAGCCGCGGUAAUACGGAGGGUGCAAGCGUUAAUCGGAAUUACUGGGCGUAAAGCGCACGCAGGCGGUCUGUCAAGUCGGAUGUGAAAUCCCCGGGCUCAACCUGGGAACUGCAUUCGAAACUGGCAGGCUAGAGUCUUGUAGAGGGGGGAGAAUUCCAGGUGUAGCGGUGAAAUGCGUAGAGAUCUGGAGGAAUACCGGUGGCGAAGGCGGCCCCCUGGACAAAGACUGACGCUCAGGUGCGAAAGCGUGGGGAGCAAACAGGAUUAGAUCCCUGGUAGUCCACGCCGUAAACGAUGUCGAUUUGGAGGUUGUGCCCUUGAGGCGUGGCUUCCGGAGCUAACGCGUUAAAUCGACCGCCUGGGGAGUACGGCCGCAAGGUUAAAACUCAAAUGAAUUGACGGGGGCCCGCACAAGCGGUGGAGCAUGUGGUUUAAUUCGAUGCAACGCGAAGAACCUUACCUGGUCUUGACAUCCACAGAACUUUCCAGAGAUGGAUUGGUGCCUUCGGGAACUGUGAGACAGGUGCUGCAUGGCUGUCGUCAGCUCGUGUUGUGAAAUGUUGGGUUAAGUCCCGCAACGAGCGCAACCCUUAUCCUUUGUUGCCAGCGGUUAGGCCGGGAACUCAAAGGAGACUGCCAGUGAUAAACUGGAGGAAGGUGGGGAUGACGUCAAGUCAUCAUGGCCCUUACGACCAGGGCUACACACGUGCUACAAUGGCAUAUACAAAGAGAAGCGACCUCGCGAGAGCAAGCGGACCUCAUAAAGUAUGUCGUAGUCCGGAUUGGAGUCUGCAACUCGACUCCAUGAAGUCGGAAUCGCUAGUAAUCGUAGAUCAGAAUGCUACGGUGAAUACGUUCCCGGGCCUUGUACACACCGCCCGUCACACCAUGGGAGUGGGUUGCAAAAGAAGUAGGUAGCUUAACCUUCGGGAGGGCGCUUACCACUUUGUGAUUCAUGACUGGGG
rnacentral:rRNA from 1 species